rnacentral:rRNA from 1 species
AUUGAACGCUGGCGGCAGGCCUAACACAUGCAAGUCGAGCGGAGCGGCGGACGGAUGAGUAAUGCCUAGGAAUCUGCCUGGUAGUGGGGGAUAACGUCCGGAAACUGGCGCUAAUACAGCAUACUAUCAGAGGAGCCUAGGUCGGAGUAGCUAGUUUGUGGGGUAAAUGCCUACCAAGGAGACGAUCCGUAACGUGUCUGAGAGUAUGAUCAGUCACACUGUAACUGAGCCACUGUCCAGACUCCUCCUGGAGGCAGCAGUGUGGAAUAUUGGACAAUGGGCGAAAGCUUGAUCCAGCCAUGCCGCGUGUGUGAAGAAGUGCUUCGGAUUGUAAAGCACUUUAAGUUGGGAGGCGUUACCAACAGAAUACGCACCGGCUAACUUCGUGCCAGCAGCCGCGGUAAUUC